AGUGAACGCUGGCGGUAGGCCUAACACAUGCAAGUCGAACGGCAGCACAGUAAGAGCUUGCUCUUACGGGUGGCGAGUGGCGGACGGGUGAGGAAUACAUCGGAAUCUACUUUUUCGUGGGGGAUAACGUAGGGAAACUUACGCUAAUACCGCAUACGACCUACGGGUGAAAGCAGUGGAUCUUCGGACCUUGCGCGAUUGAAUGAGCCGAUGUCGGAUUAGCUAGUUGGCGGGGUAAAGGCCCACCAAGGCGACGAUCCGUAGCUGGUCUGAGAGGAUGAUCAGCCACACUGGAACUGAGACACGGUCCAGACUCCUACGGGAGGCAGCAGUGGGGAAUAUUGGACAAUGGGCGCAAGCCUGAUCCAGCCAUACCGCGUGGGUGAAGAAGGCCUUCGGGUUGUAAAGCCCUUUUGUUGGGGAAGAAAAGCAGCAGGUUAAUACCCCGCUGUUCUGACGGUACCCAAAGAAUAAGCACCGGCUAACUUCGUG
rnacentral:rRNA from 1 species